CCUACGGGUGGCAGCAGUGGGGAAUAUUGCACAAUGGGCGAAAGCCUGAUGCAGCAACGCCGCGUGAGCGAUGAAGGCCUUCGGGUCGUUAAGCCCUGUCCUCAAGGAAGAUAAUGACGGUACUUGAGGCGGAAGCCCCGGCUACCUACGUGCCAGCAGCCGCGGUAAUACGUAGGGAGCUAGCGUUAUCCGGAAUUACUGGGCGUAAAGGGUGCGUAGGUGGUUUCGUAAGUCAGAGGUAAAAGGCUACGGCUCAACCGUAGUCAGACUUUGAAACUGGGAAACUUGAGUGCAGGAGAGGAGAGUGGAAUUCCUGGUGUAGCGGUGAAAUGCGUAGAUAUUAGGAGGAACACCGGUUGCGAAGGCGGCUCUCUGGACUGUAACUGACGCUGAGGCACGAAAGCGUGGGGAGCGAACAGGAUUAGAUACCCUGGUAGUC
rnacentral:rRNA from 1 species